CCCCAUUUUUUGAUAAGAAAAAUAAAUGGUUUGAGAAAGAUGUUUUUUAUUCAAUUGUGAUUGGAAAAUGAUUUUUUGUGAGUUGAAAAGACAUGGGUCUCAAUGGGACUUGAAAAGCGACGAUUUGACCCAAAAAAUAGUUUUAAAAAGGGUUUUGAAAUGAAAAGUUUGGAGUCGCCACUUGGUAAUGAUUUAAGGUGUACCAAGUCACCUAAAAAUGAGUUUUAAAGUCAAGUAGUAAUAAACCCUUUUUAAAACGACUCCGAGUCUACGUAAAACAAAGAAAAAGGUUCGGGAGUCACGUUUGACAAAGGGGAAGGCAAGGAUAGACUCCAAGGCACCCCUUUGACCUAGCCAAGGCUAGUUGCGUGACUUAACCCUA
rnacentral:lncRNA from 1 species